rnacentral:rRNA from 1 species
GACGAACGCUGGCGGCGUGCUUAACACAUGCAAGUCGAACGGAAAGGCCCUGCUUUUGUGGGGUGCUCGAGUGGCGAACGGGUGAGUAACACGUGAGUAACCUGCCCUUGACUUUGGGAUAACUUCAGGAAACUGGGGCUAAUACCGGAUAGGAGCUCCUGCUGCAUGGUGGGGGUUGGAAAGUUUCGGCGGUUGUGGCUGGGCUCGCGGCUUAUCGGCUUGUUGGUGGGGUAGUGGAUUUCCAAGGCUUUGACGGGUAGCCGGCCUGGGAGGGUGACCGGCCUCAUUGGGACUGAGGUAGGGCCCAGAAUCCAACGGGCCGCAGCGGGCGAGAAUAUUGCGCAAUGGGCGCAAGCCUGUGGUAGCAACGCCCCGUGCGUGAUGACGUCCUUCGGGUUGUGAACCGCUUUGGCCUGUGCCGAAGCGUGCGUGACGGUAAUGGGUAAAGAAGCACCGGCUAACUACGUG